rnacentral:piRNA from 1 species
UCCUAUACGAGAAGCCAAUGGGCUACCC